rnacentral:rRNA from 1 species
AGUGAACGCUGGCGGUAGGCCUAACACAUGCAAGUCGAACGGCAGCACAGUAAGAGCUUGCUCUUACGGGUGGCGAGUGGCGGACGGGUGAGGAAUACAUCGAAAUCUACUUUUUCGUGGGGGAUAACGUAGGGAAACUUACGCUAAUACCGCAUACGACCUACGGGUGAAAGCAGGGGAUCUUCGGACCUUGCGCGAUUGAAUGAGCCGAUGUCGGAUUAGCUAGUUGGCGGGGUAAAGGCCCACCAAGGCGACGAUCCGUAGCUGGUCUGAGAGGAUGAUCAGCCACACUGGAACUGAGACACGGUCCAGACUCCUACGGGAGGCAGCAGUGGGGAAUAUUGGACAAUGGGCGCAAGCCUGAUCCAGCCAUACCGCGUGGGUGAAGAAGGCCUUCGGGUUGUAAAGCCCUUUUGUUGGGAAAGAAAGGCAGCGGGUUAAUACCCCGCUGUUCUGACGGUACCCAAAGAAUAAGCACCGGCUAACUUCGUG